GGUGAACGCUGGCGGUAGGCCUAACACAUGCAAGUCGAACGGCAGCACAGUAAGAGCUUGCUCUUACGGGUGGCGAGUGGCGGACGGGUGAGGAAUACAUCGGAAUCUACUUUUUCGUGGGGGAUAACGUAGGGAAACUUACGCUAAUACCGCAUACGACCUACGGGUGAAAGCAGGGGAUCUUCGGACCUUGCGCGAUUGAAUGAGCCGAUGUCGGAUUAGCUAGUUGGCGGGGUAAAGGCCCACCAAGGCGACGAUCCGUAGCUGGUCUGAGAGGAUGAUCAGCCACACCGGAACUGAGACACGGUCCAGACUCCUACGGGAGGCAGCAGUGGGGAAUAUUGGACAAUGGGCGCAAGCCUGAUCCAGCCAUACCGCGUGGGUGAAGAAGGCCUUCGGGUUGUAAAGCCCUUUUGUUGGGAAAGAAAAGCAGCAGGUUAAUACCCCGCUGUUCUGACGGUACCCAAAGAAUAAGCACCGGCUAACUUCGUG
rnacentral:rRNA from 1 species